UACAGAGGUCCCAAGCGUUGUUCGGAAUUACUGGGCGUAAAGGGCGCGUAGGCGGUCCCGUCAGUCCCUUGUGAAAUCCCCCGGCUCAACUGGGGAACUGCAAGGGAUACAGCGGGGCUUGAGUUCGGGAGAGGGAAGCGGAAUUCCGGGUGUAGCGGUGGAAAUGCGUAGAUAUCCGGAGGAACACCGGUGGCGAAGGCGG
rnacentral:rRNA from 1 species